AUAUGUUUAGGUUAUUAUAAUUACUCACUGAGAUCUCAUUAAAUAUGUGUUUAGGUUAUUAUAAUUACUUAGUACAGAGAUCACAUUAAAUAUGUUUAGGUUAUUAUAAUUACUUACUGAGAUCUCAUUAAAUAUGUGUUAAUAUCACAUUAAAUAUGUUUAGGUUAUUAUAAUUUACUUACUGAGAUCUCAUUAAAUAUGUGUUAAGGAUAUUAUAGUUACUUGAUACAGAGAUCACAUUAAAUAUGUUUAGGUUAUUAUAAUUACUUACUGAGAUCUCAUUAAAUAUGUGUUAAUAUCACAUUAAAUAUGUUUAGGUUAUUAUAAUUACUUACUGAGAUCUCAUUAAAUAUGUGUUAAGGAUAUUAUAGUUACUUGAUACAGAGAUUACAUUAAAUAUGUUUAGGUUAUUAUAAUUACUUACUGAGAUCUCAUUAAAUAUGUGUUAAGGAUAUUAUAGUUACUUGAUACAGAGAUCACAUUAAAUAUGUUUAGGUUAUUAUAAUUACUUACUGAGAUCUCAUUAAAUAUGUGUUAAGGAUAUUAUAGUUACUUGAUACAGAGAUUACAUUAAAUAUGUUUAGGUUAUUAUAAUUACUUCUGAGAUCUCAUUAAAUAUGUGUUAAGGAUAUUAUAGUUACUUGAUACAGAUAGAGAUCACAUUAAAUAUGUUUAGGUUAUUAUAAUUACUUACUGAGAUCUCAUUAAAUAUGUGUUAAGGAUAUUAUAGUUACUUGAUACAGAGAUCACAUUAAAUAUGUUUAGGUUAUUAUAAUUACUUACUGAGAUCUCAUUAAAUAUGUGUUUAUGAUAUUAUAAUUACUUGGUACAGAGAUCACAUUAAAUAUGUGUUUAGGAUAUUAUAAUUACUUAGUACAGAGAUCAUAUUAAAUAUGUGUUUAGGUUAUUAUAAUUACUGACGUAAAUCACAUGACAUAUGUGUUUAUGUUAUUAUUGUUACUUAAUUAGAUCUUAUCUUAUUAAGUAUGUGUUUAUGUUAUUAAUACUUCUUACAUAAAUCUCAUUACAUAUGUGUUUAGGUUAUUAUAACUACUUACUGAAAUCACAUUAAAUAUGUGUUUAGGUUUUUAUAAUAACUUAGUGAGAUCGCAUUAGCUAUGUGUUUAGGUUAUCAAAUGGGUGCACAGAUUGAGAUCAUAAAUAAACACAUGUACAGAGUGUAUUGUAUAGUUUAAUGUUGGAUGCACGACAAAAGAAGGGUAACCCAACGUCUUUUGAAGGUCAACAUAUGUCCUAAAAGAUGAGACAGGUGUCUUUACAAUCAUGUGUCAAGCUCUGCAAUGGAAAAUUUAAACUAUAGUAUUUUUAUUUAUAAUAUAAGAAAGCCUGAAGCACGUUAUUAUUGUAUGUUAUGUAACAUUUUGUAGUUGAUUGUGGUUG
rnacentral:lncRNA from 1 species